rnacentral:rRNA from 1 species
AUACGUAGGGAACAAGCGCUGUCCGGAUUUACUGGGCGUAAAGGGCACGCAGGCGGUUUUUUAAGUCAGAUGUGUAAGGUACCGGCUCAACCGGUGACAUGCAUUUGAAACUGAAAGACUUGAGUAUUGGAGAGGCAAGUGGAAUUCCUAGUGUAGCGGUGAAAUGCGUAGAGAUUAGGAGGAACACCAGUGGCGAAGGCGGCUUGCUGGACAAAUACUGACGCUGAGGUGCGAAAGCGUGGGGAGC